rnacentral:rRNA from 1 species
UGCGGAGGGAUCAUUAGAGAGUAUAAAAACUCCCAAACCCAUGUGAACAUACCUACGUUGCCUCGGCGGGGGCCUAAACCCCCCCGCCGAUGGCCCAGUAAACUCUGUUUUAUUCUGAAAUUCUGAAUCUCAAAGCAAAUAAGUUAAAACUUUCAACAACGGAUCUCUUGGUUCUGGCAUCGAUGAAGAACGCAGCGAAAUGCGAUAAGUAAUGUGAAUUGCAGAAUUCAGUGAAUCAUCGAAUCUUUGAACGCACAUUGCGCCCAUUAGUAUUCUAGUGGGCAUGCCUGUUCGAGCGUCAUUAAUACCAUUAAGCCCUGUAGCUUAGCGUUGGGAGCCUGCGGCUGCAGCUCCUCAAAACUAGUGGCGGAGUCAGCGUAUACUCUAGGCGUAGUAAUAACCCACUCGCUUCUGCGUUGCGCUGGCGCCUGCCGUAAAACAACCCAUUUCUAAAGGUUUGACCUCGGAUCAGGUAGGAAUACCCGCUGAACUUAAGCAUAUCAAUAA